AGCUCCAAUAGCGUAUAUUAAAGUUGUUGCAGUUAAAAAGCUCGUAGUUGAAUUUGUGGCAUAUGAUGGGCUGAUAUUGCUUGUUUGUGAUGUUGCUGCCUGUUGUUGCCAUCCUUGGGUGGAAUCUGUGUGGCAUUAGGUUGUCGUGCAGGGAAUACCCAUCGUUUACUGUGAAAAAAUUAGAGUGUUCAAAGCAGGCUUAUGCCAAUGAAUAUAUUAGCAUGGAAUAAUGAGAUAGGACCUUGGUACUAUUUUGUUGGUUUGCGUAUUGAGGUAAUGGUUAACAGGAACAGUUGGGGGUAUUCGUAUUUCAUUGUCAGAGGUGAAAUUCUUGGAUUUUUGAAAGACGAACUACUGCGAAAGCAUUUACCAAGGAUGUUUUCAUUAAUCAAGAACGAAA
rnacentral:rRNA from 1 species